CUGAAAUAUCUUUGCGACCAGGACACGGCGCUGC
rnacentral:sRNA from 1 species